UUAGAGGAAGUAAAAGUCGUAACAAGGUCUCCGUAGGUGAACCUGCGGAGGGAUCAUUACACAAAUAUGAAGGCGGGCUGGAACCUCUCGGGGUUACAGCCUUGCUGAAUUAUUCACCCUUGUCUUUUGCGUACUUCUUGUUUCCUUGGUGGGUUCGCCCACCACUAGGACAAACAUAAACCUUUUGUAAUUGCAAUCAGCGUCAGUAACAAAUUAAUAAUUACAACUUUCAACAACGGAUCUCUUGGUUCUGGCAUCGAUGAAGAACGCAGCGAAAUGCGAUAAGUAGUGUGAAUUGCAGAAUUCAGUGAAUCAUCGAAUCUUUGAACGCACAUUGCGCCCUUUGGUAUUCCAAAGGGCAUGCCUGUUCGAGCGUCAUUUGUACCCUCAAGCUUUGCUUGGUGUUGGGCGUCUUGUCUCUAGCUUUGCUGGAGACUCGCCUUAAAGUAAUUGGCAGCCGGCCUACUGGUUUCGGAGCGCAGCACAAGUCGCACUCUCUAUCAGCAAAGGUCUAGCAUCCACUAAGCCUUUUUUUCAACUUUUGACCUCGGAUCAGGUAGGGAUACCCGCUGAACUUAAGCAUAUCAAAAGCCCGGAGGA
rnacentral:misc_RNA from 1 species